GCAUGUGUUCAGUGGCUAAAACAGCUGCAGUGUAACCUAUAACUGUUUUACUGCCUUUUUCUGUUGUAAUGGAGAUGCUACUAUACGGAUUCCUACUGAUGAUUAUCACAUGUGUUAAUGGUCAGUCUUUGAGCUCCUCGGAUUCUGUGGUGAAAAGACCAGGAGAAUCAGUGACUCUGUCCUGCGGUGUCUCUGGAAUCUCAAUGAGCGACUACUACAUGCACUGGAUCCGUCAGAAACCAGGGAGAGGACUGGAGUGGAUCGGAUAUAUAGACACUGGCUCAAGUGCAUAUUAUGCUCAGUCUCUACAGGGCCAGUUCUCCAUCACAAAAGACACCAGCAAAGAGAUGCUGUAUUUAGAGGUGAAAAGCCUGAAGACUGAAGACACAGCUGUUUAUUACUGUGCCAGAGAUUCACAGUAACACAAACGUCUGCAG